GCGUUACAAAGUCUUUCUCGGUAUGGCACCUGUUACUUUUGUAGCAACAUUUAGCAGUGGGACUCCACAACAUUCGGAAAUGAGUCCGGUCAAUAAAAAAUAGGAAUGUUAUAUGCCUGUUCAUUGCCAUCUGAUUCUGAAAUAUAGGCCGAUAUUGUCAACUAUAUGUGUCUGAGUGAGAAUGGUCUUGGAGGAGGGGAUAAAACUGUUCCAAAGCAGUAGUUGACCUACUGAGGAGAUCAGCUGAGGGAACAUGAUAACUAAGAAGAAAAUUCCAACCAUUCAUUUUCACACAGCUUUCCCCUCUCCCUUUGACAUCCUGACAAAGCUCCCUUUCUUGUAGUGAGGCACUGCACUGCAAAGCAGAUGCAAAUAAGGCUGCAAAGUUCAUUGAAGAUCAUUGCAGAUGCCACAAGCUCCAGAAAGUAGACGUUUGAUGCUACUGCUGACAGGGGUGUAUGGAGUGUACACAAGGGUGUAUUUGUCAUGAACAUGCAAAAAUGUUCAUCAUGGGUAAUGUGAGAAAAGCAUUUGCUACUUCAAAACAUGUAUCAGACUACAACUGAGGACCUCACUAUUAUGAUACAGUAAAGAGAAACCUUGUGGAACACCAUACUUUUAGAAAUACACUAAAUAUUAGGAGAAAUGCAUUUUGAACCCAAGCAUGUGGAGUAACUGUAACAUAAAUAAACUGUCAGAAAAAUCCAGCAAGGAACAGAAACGAAAUCGUAUAAAAUACAAUUGAACUUUGAAUUAAAUUAAGUUGAUGAAGAUCUAAUGCUUACUUGGGCAAUAGAUACAUUUUCCAUUUAAUCUUGUAAUAUGAAAAACAUUUGUCAGUAAAAUCCAGGCCAACAUUAGCUAGUUUAAUCCAUUGCUGUCUGAACUCAUCUGAACAUCUGAUUUAGUGGCCUCAGCUAUGUUUGCAUUACUCAUCAGUGAGACAUAGAGGGAGCUACAGACAAUGUUUAAACAUCCAGAAGAUCUCGUUUUGCAGGACCCCUCUAAAAACAUAACAUGCUUUCUUGCUUCCUGCUAAUUUCCGGCCGGAGACAACUUAACAUGUCGGCCUGGUAUGGUAUGAUAAAGUGUCGUAUUAAUGGAACAUUCAUAAAUGAAGAUUAUCAACAAUGGACACUGAACAUGUGUCCUACUAGAUAUAGACACACCAUAGAUGGUGCUUUGGUCCCAGGGUGGACUAAUAAUUCUGAAAGUGAAAGGCAUUAAGUAGAACUUCUUGAUUAUUUGUUUAUUAGUCUGCAAAUCAAAUCAGAGUACACAACAUUUGCAGUGUUACAAUUGGUGAAAUAAUCUGUAAAAUACCAACU